rnacentral:rRNA from 1 species
AGAGCGAACGCUGGCGGCAGGCCUAACACAUGCAAGUCGAACGGACCCUUCGGGGUUAGUGGCGGACGGGUGAGUAACACGUGGGAACGUGCCUUUAGGUUCGGAAUAGCUCCUGGAAACGGGUGGUAAUGCCGAAUGUGCCCUUCGGGGGAAGAUUUAUCGCCUUUAGAGCGGCCCGCGUCUGAUUAGCUAGUUGGUGAGGUAAAGGCUCACCAAGGCUACGAUCAGUAGCUGGUCUGAGAGGAUGACCAGCCACAUUGGGACUGAGACACGGCCCAAACUCCGUAGGGAGGCAGCAGGUGGGGAACUCUUGCGUCAAGUGGGACGAAAGCCGUAGACGCACGCCAGUCGACCGCGUAGAAUGAGUAGAAGGUUCUUAAGGUAUUAGUAAAACUUUCGUUACGAGUAGGACGUAUAA